GCCGGGCGCGGUGGCUCAAGCCUGUAAUCCCAGCACUCUGGGAGGCUGAGGCAGGUGGAUCACCUGAGGUCGGGAGUUCGAGACCAGCCUGACCAACAUGGUGAAACCCCAUCUCUACUNGAUGGGGUUUCACCAUGUUGGUCAGGCUGGUCUCGAACUCCCGACCUCAGGUGAUCCACCUGCCUCAG
rnacentral:SRP_RNA from 1 species